rnacentral:misc_RNA from 1 species
AAGCUGCGAUAAGUAAUGUGAAUUGCAGAACUCAGUGAAUCAUCGAGUCUUCGAACGCAUAUUGCGCCCCCUGGCAUUCCGGGGGGCAUGCCUGUUCGAGCGUCAUUUGUACCCUCAAGCUCUGCUUGGUGUUGGGUGUUUGUCCCGUCUCCGCGCGUGGACUCGCCCCAAAGUGAUUGGCAGCCGGCGUACUGGUCCCGGAGCGCAGCACAUGUCGCGCAAACGAGUGCCUUGGUACGGCGGCGUCCAUAAGCCCCUCUCUCACGCUCUUGACCUCGGAUCAGGUAGGGAUACCCGCUGAACUUAAGC